UCUCUCUCUCUCUCUCUCUCUAUUGGUGUUUCAUUGCUUUUCUUUCCGUCAAAGGUCUUUUGUGUUUGCCGAGGAUAUCCCUGAUCUCGAAUUUGUACGUGGAUACUCGCAAACUUCAAUAAUUCCUUUUUUUGUGUCGAGGGAACCGUGUCGUUCUUAUCAUCAUCUAUAUGCUGUUUUCUUUUUGUUUCCUUUUUCUUUAGUAGUUUUUAGAUAUCAUAGACCCGUGCGUAUCUUUCUGACGUUGUUCUUUGUUCUGAUUCCCUUGCUGUGGUGUGUGUUGGAUUCUGGACGAGGAUGUAUCUGGCUUCAUUGAUAUUUGCCCCCAUUUGGACAAAUAUAUUUAUGUUGUUUUAUUGUGUCUUCUGAUCAUAUUUAGAUUUUAUUUUUCCUGCUUCAAAUAUUUUUGGACUUUUCCGGUUAUUGUAUCUUCAUCUACUCAUGUCUUGGAAGAAAGAUAGAUUUUGUUUCUGGAGUGAAAAUGUAUGCGGAAAAAAAGAAACGUUUAUGGUUUUACUAAAUGUUCUGGUAGUUAUUGUUACAUUAUUUUGAUAAAUAUUUCUUAGCUUCUGAACUGAUUUUGCUUCUCUGAUUUUUAGAUCUAAUAUUUAUUUUUAGAAAAUGACCCUUCACAUUUUUCAAUUUUUAUUUAGUAGAUAUCGAAUGGUAAUUUAUGUACGACCAAAUUAUUAGUCAUCCUGACAGGAUGUUAUUGAAUUAGGAAGAAAAAUAACAAUAUAUGAGGUGCAAACAAAUUAUAGAUAAAUAGUUUUCGCUAAAACUAAUUUGAAUAGUUGGAUCGGGUUUUCUUCUUCAAAGAGAUUAUGUGUGGAUUUAUAUUAUAGUUAAAAUUUGCUGACAUUUUAAUUAAUAUUUGAUGUCAAAAAGUAUAUAAAUCUGUCUGGAUUGAUUAAUGAUAUUUGGAGGUUGUGAGUUAUUUUAAUAAAUUUAUAACUUGUGGUGGGGGAGUUUUUGCAAUGUUUGGACUGGUGCUGGUGUAUUGUGUGCCUUAUAUAUGAGAGAGGAAAAAUAAAGGAGGUAGAUGUGGCAGUCUAUGAAAAAUAAAAAAAAUUGUGAAGAGGUAUCAUUAACUUCUUCAUUUCUUUGUUCUUUGUGGGUUCAGCAAAUGUAAUCAGUUAUGUAUGUAAGCUCAGAAGAUACUUGGUUGAUCAUAUAUAGCUAUAUAGCCUGAUGCAUAUGAGGUUGAUUUUGCCACUUUGGAUGCAGGCAUCUUGAUGGCUAUCUCUUUGUCUUCCCAAUCUAUUUUACUACAUUAACUUUGCCAUAAAUUGGAUAGUUCCUAUUAUCGUGACUGUAAAAUUUACAUGGGUAUCUCAUGUCUUUCAUUAAGUCAAAAGGAUAUUCUUUUCCUUCUUUUUUUUUUUAACAUUGGCCUCUUGUAAAAUGAAAUGCCUCAUUGCAUCACCAUUCUCAUUAUUUGUUUGUGUAAUAUAUACAUUUUUUGAGAAGUGUAGGAAAUGAUCUUCCUAAAUACUAUAAAGUAUGAAUAAUUUCUCUCUAGAAGCAACAAUAGCCACUAAAUUUAAUUGAGGAAUCCGGACCAUUAAUAACCAUAUUCAUCAUAUUAUAUAAAUCGUCCACCUUAUCGUGCAGCAAAGUAACACUAGAUGUUGACUUUCUUACCGAUUUCAAGGGAGUCCAAAUCCCAUGUGAACCAACUUGGUUCUCGCUUUUUGAUAGGAUGCGUGUUCUGAGACUUAGUAACAAAUAAGAUCCAAACCUGACUCCUUUAUGUCUUCAUCUUGUGUCAUCUCAUCCUUGAGACAUGAUUAUUAAUGGUAAUUCCUUAAUCCAUAUCUGUUAUUUAUUUUCUUCUCCAACACUUCGUGAUCCCUACCAUUUUCCUCACUGUCUUGAGAAUCUGUAUCGUGCUCUAAUGUUAGCAACCAUGGCCCCGCUAUCUACCCCAUUCCUAUGGUCUGAUUGGAUUCUUAAAUGAGAACCUAGCAAUGGUGUUUGCUAAAAAGGGGUCCCAUUUAAUCAUUGAUGGAGGAACUUUAAGAAUAUGCUCAUAGAAAGAAUAGGUACAAGAAGAAGUUCAAGGAAUUUGGAGCUAGUUAAAGUGAUGAUGUUAUUAAAAGAAUAUGAAGCUUGUGAAUUUAUUUUAUUUACACUUUUUUCCUUUUAUUUUGGUGUUGCAGAACUCAAAUGGUGAUAGGCUAAUUGUAAAAUGAAAACAACCUUGAUUCAAGUUAUUGUUAUAUAUUUAAAGUUUUAGAAUUUCAUAAUUACUCUCACAAUAAUUAAGUUGUACGUGAAACAAAUGCUAGCUUACAUGAAUUGAAUAUCGGUAUAUCCAUAUCCAUUUUUGUACUAUUUGAUGAAUAUAAAUAUGGAUGUUUGUUGGAUUUGUCUUAAAUGGAUAUAGAUAUUGUUGUUGUUGGCGGCCAACCUGACAUUGGAGCAGGUGGGUUUAAAGUAGUUGGAGUCUGGCAUUGUACUAGAUGAAGGUGAAUCUGCAAAUCAAGUCCUUUGUCGUAGUUGUUUCUAGUAAGGACUCUCUGGUGCUCAAGUCAGUCACUGAAAAUUACUGGAAAUGAGAGAUAAUGGGACGUGAAAGCUUAUCUGAGGGUCUCCAAUUCCCUCUAUUUAUAGGUGGGGUAGUUGGCCAUCUUUGGUAAAAAAAGGGCAGUAGUGAUUGAGAGAAUUACGUUGCUUCUGUCUUAUUCGAUCGAGGUGAGCUAUUGCCUAUUGGAUUUGGUGCAUAUUUGGAAUGUGGAUUGAAUAUGAUAACUAUCCGAUGCAUAACAGCCGUUGGGAAUCUCGGUCUGAUGCCUCAGCUCGAAAGGCACCGAGGCGAGUAGGUCAGUUAUUAAUCGAGCUUAAGUGAACAUUGGUCCAACCAAGAUAAGCUGUCAUUCCGUAUCAGAUGCUCCCCACUCUAGAGUUCGAGCUAAAGGUAGCCCGGGUGAAAAGAGCAAGAGUUUGUCCACCUCUUUGGCUAUCACCUUUUGUCGCUCGGGAAGCUUCUUUUCUAAUGUUUAACAGGUCUGUAGCUCGGGUUGACGCCUAGCCAAUGCGUCAUCACAUUCGGAUCGAUGCCUGGUAUAUCUGUUGGAGCCUAGGCGAAUACAUCUGUAUUUUUCUACAAAAAGAGAUGAAACGUCGUUUGGUUAUCAUAUCGAGUUUUGACAUGAUCUGGAUGGCAUGCUCCUGAUUGCUGUCAUUCAAUGGGAUCCUGUCCACGUCCUCAAUCGGCUUUCCUCAUUCUUCGGAUAGUUUGUCUCGUGUGUCUAGUCUGUCCAUCGAGUAAGCCUCGGAAGGUCCUGCAUCAUGAAGUGCGAUAUUGUAGCAUUAUCGCGCUAAGGCCUGAUCUCCACGGACUUCGGCAACUUCAAAUUCUAUGAGAAACUUUAUUUUCAGAUGAUAGGCAGAUACUACUGCUCGGAGUGUGUUAAGUUCUGGAUGUCUGAGGAUGGCAUUGUAGGUCUAAAGUGCUCGGAUCUUGGAUCGGCGAGGUGAUCGUCCGGCCACAAUAGGGAGAGUUAUAACCGCUUCAACUAUUAUAUCAUCCUCAGUAAAUCCUAUUAGAGGGGUAUCUAGUCGGUUUAGCCGUUCUUGGGGUAUGCCCAUUUAAGAGAGCGUCGUAAAAUAAAACAUCCGUUAACUUCCAUUAUCAUUAAGGAUGCGACGUAUAUCAUAUAGUUUUCGAUAUUCAAAGUUACAAUCAUUGCGUCGUUACGUGGGAAUUGAACCCUUUGGGCAUCUUCUUCAGUAAAAAUAAGGGAUUCUUCAGUCCUCGGCUUAUUGGAAGGUUCAACUGACUCCACUCUACUUUGAUGUCCUUCAAUUAUUGCAUUUAUCACUCCCGUAGAAGGUCGAUCUUUAGAUGGUUCCCUCUGUCGUUGUUCCAACAGGUUGGGUGAUCUCCGUCGUUCCUCUUGCCGUUCCUAUCGAUGCUUGAUAAGUCGAUCCAAGUGCCCAUGCCGAAUGAACUCUUCCAUCUCAUGUUGAAGCUAAAUACAAUUUUCAAUGUUGUGGUCAUGGUCGCGGUGAUAUAGGCAUACUUGUGGUUCUGUCGGUUUGAAUUAGACCGCAACCUCCCCGCCUUUGGAAUUCGAUCUUUGAUCUCUAUUAGUACUUAAGCUCGGAUGGUGUCCCAAGGGGGUGUAGUUUGUAAAUCUCCUAGGUGGAGACACGUCGCUUCCUUCUGAAAUUGUCCCUUCGUCGGGGGUUCCGUGGGGGAGUUUGGGACCUCUGACAUCUAGGUGGAGAGUGGGAGUGCCGUCGAUCCUUCGGUGGAGAUUUCGAUUUUUCUUUCUUCCUUUCUUCUACCAUGUUCAUUGGGGGCUCAUCUUCGAACGCCUCGUCUGCCCUGACGUACUUCUCCAUUCGGGCUAACAUAUCGGCGAAGUCACGGGGGUGGAUCUUGUUCAGGAAGUAUCGAAGAUCAUUCUUCAGUAAUCCGUCCUUCACGAUGGCUAUUGCGAUCGACUGAUCCAGAUCGCGGACUUUUAAUACGGCUGCAUUGAAACGAUCGAGGUAUUAUCGGACGGACUCCCCUUCUCUCUGUUUCAUAUUCAUCAGGGAGUCCGAUCCUUUCUACUGUCUCUUAUUGCUCACAAAAUGGCCCACGAACAGUCGGCUCAUCUGAUUGAAAGAAUGGACAUUUGUGGCUUUAAGCUAGUGUACCAAUGUCAGGCUAUAUCCUUCAGGAUUGACGGAAAGAUUUGAUAGAGGGCGGCAUCGGUUUCCUCAUGAAUGAGCAUCAGGGAUUUGAAGCUUUUUAGGUGAUCUACUGGAUCGGUGAUCCCAUGAUAGCUCUCUAAGUGCGACAUUUUGAAAUUUUUGGAGAGCGGUUCUUGCAUAAUCUGAUCGCUAAAUGGCGGGUUGGUUUAUACCUGUCAUCGCGCACCUGUGUUUGAUGGUGGAUUGCUUCGAUCCUCUCGUUCAUCUUUCGAAGUUUGCAGUCGAUUCCGCAUCUCGGGCGGUGCAGUUUUUCGAACAUUGUAGGGGGGGUCGUCGACUAGGCAUUGAAUCUUGCCUAGAACGAGGACUUGGCGACUGUUGUCUUCUGUGUUCUGGACUCCGGGGUCGACUGUGAUGGGUUUGUCUCCCCCACUCAGGACUCUAUGGAGGGACUGGCGGUCGUCCCUGCGGUGUUGUUGUAGGUUGCUGCAGGGGAAUUGCCGAUUGUGGAUCUACCACUGGUACUACAUUGGUUGGUGGGGGUGUUGUUGUAGCUACUAUUGUUGGUGCAGCAUUGAUUGGUUGUAAUAGUGCUAUUGUCGGUGGUACAGCGUGGAGUGCUGCAUCGCUUGAACGGUGGUGGUCAGAGUCUGUACUUGUUGGAACAGUAGGUGGAGUUGUUCCGUGCUGAUGAUCACCACCUGUUGGGAGGGCGGUUGCGAAACUUUUCGACGGCGGCUGUGUCAAAGCCUGCUGGUCGAUUGCAUUCUUCGCUAACUGGGAGGAUGCAGCGAUGUUAAAUCGAUGGGAGGAAGCUUGGCGCGGUGCCAUAAUCUCGAUCUUGUGCUCCUCACACUUGGAUCAGAUUUUUUUUUUUCUAACGUCAAUCUGUUGCUAUUGAAAUCCGGAUCACGGUCGGAGAGGUUGGACCGAUGGCGUGUCCAUCCGGAAGAGAAAUCUGCAAGUAAGUCUUGGUCGGAGUUGGCUCUAGCGGAGACCCUCCGAUGCUCAAGUCAGAUAGCAGUGAAAAUAGGUGAGGAGUGUAAAGAGAUUAUCCCCAAGUACUUUGGGGAGUCCCUUGGAUGUCUUUUUGUAGAUGAAAGUUGAAGAAUCGUUUUAGAAAAGUUACGUGGCCGAUUUAGGCACGAUGUGGCGAGAUUUUUGAUCGGAAUUUCUGAGAAGGUUAUUACACCUGCCGUAUCCGUUUCGAAGCCAGUUAAAUGUCAUGGGCACUUUUGAAUUUUGAAAUAAGGGCGCUGGUGGGAUUGGACCAAUUCCACUAGUAGAAGCUUCAGCGUGAUCCGAUGGAGACUUGUGCUAAAGGGAAGAAGGAAUUGGAGCCAAAGAUCGGUGAGAGCUAAAAUACAUUUAUGGCCGAAGUCGAAGAUCGACCAAAUUAGGGGUUUGGUUGUCUACAGAUGCCGGAUAGAUGUUGGAUGUCGGCUGUCAUAGGGAUUGAGAUAGGGUUGAGGCCGAAGUCAUAAUCGGCUGGUCCUGAGCAUUGUGCUUAGGGGGAUCACUAGAAGUUAAAGAUCGUCAGGAGCUGAAGCCAGAAUCAGGCUAUAUCAUUUGCCCUUUUGUUAGUCCAUGUCUUCGGCCCAAGCAGUAAAUAUCUCCCAACAGUAACGAAAGCUAGCAUUUGUUUCAUGUACAACUAAAUUAUUGUGAGAGUAAUUAUGGAAGAGCUAAAACUUCAAAUGUUUAACAAUAAUUUGAAUCAAGGUUGUUAUCAUUCUACAAUUAGCCUGUCACCACUUGAGUUCUCCAAAGUUAAUUCAUUUUGCAUAUUCAAUUUUCUUUUCAUAUGUUGAGCCUGUCAAGGUCUUAUAUAUGGUAGUCCUUUGCAACAAAAUCUUGUUAGUUAAGCAUUGCAUGUGAAUUGUUAAUAUAUUUUGGAGAAUUAUGUUUAGCACCAUUAUUAUAUGGUGAAGCACUUCUACAAAUAAUGAUUUGUGUUGCCGCCAUAAUUUUGUCCGGUGUUUUGGAGACAAGGAUGGUGCUGAUUGAUCUGCUGCAGUGGAAGACGAAGCGCUGAUCUACGUGUGAAAAUGAGAGCAAAGGAGAUCGCCAUACUGAUUCGAUCGGGGGCCUCUGAUGCUUAAGUUAGAUAGGAGUUUGGGGAAUAGGAUAUGUACGAAGACAGAAGAAGGGGAAGUGGAGAGCUUUUAGCUUCUUUGUCAUACUUGGGGCCUUGAGCCCUUUUUAUAGGUGAAGAGUCCGUGUACCACCAGAGUUGGACUCUAAAAUUUGGAGUCCAGUCAGGAGCUGAUUCUUGGUUUUUCUUAUUUAUAUCGGCCUGCCCAAGAAGAUAAGUUCAAUCGAAACUGAUCACGUGCUAUGCCAUGUGUCGGCCUAUGAUUAGUUGUUCUGAUUUUGGCCACGUCACAUUCCCCUCGCUUUUGAGUUCGAGGCAUUUUUCUUGACUCCAGCUAAGGAAGUUGCCAGAUUAGCUAAUAGUAAGCCUACCAAGAUUCACCUCAACUUGCCCAUUUCCUUAGGUUGCAGGUCAUCCAUCACAUUUGGGGGAAUUUGCGUGCGCGCCUGAAAGUUUGGUGGGCAAUUUCAAUGGACCUUUUGAAAUCCGAAAAGGUCUGUCAGUUGGUAUACCCAAGGUGAUAUGCGAUGGUUUGAUCCGUGCAACCGCUUUGUGGUUAAUAGCAGUGUGACACAUGUCAGCUUGUUUGGUCAGAAAUUCGAUUGGAUGCAACUCUUCAGGCUGAUUCGAGCCGUUGAGAGCUCUAUAUGAGGUAGGCAUUAGUGCUUUUUCCCCACUCAUAGAAUUCUGAAGUCUCGCUUAGGUUGUCCUGCCCAAGCAUCCCUUCCUCAACUCGGUCUUUAUCUUUCAGCGCUUAGGCCAUCAAGUAGGUACUUCCUUCUCCCGUCCUUUGUCAAUUCCUUAUAGGUCAUAGGAGUCACUCAUAAUAAGUAGCUCGCCCAUUAGUUGGUUGUCCAGCUCUAGUUCUAGGUCGGGUUCCUCAGGUUCAUCCUCUUCGAAUUUUGAGGCAGUCCAAUCGGUCAUCCCAUUUAGUCUUAGUGUCGAGGAAAGAACCUUAGAUUGAGCUGAUUUAAAUAGGAUUAGGAGGUCAUACUUCAUUCCUCCUAGCAUCUACCUUAGGCUAUUUGAGGCCGACGAGAGAGCCUCUAGUCAUCUGCCUGCUCAGCUCUACCCAUACAAGGAUACUCCGGUGGUAGGGCUAAGAUUCCCUCUUCACCUCUUUAUCGGCCAAAUCUUAGAUCAGUACCAACUAGUACCAAUCCAACUAGUCCCCAACUCUUGCAGGAUUAUAAUUGGGUUUUUGUCUUUUUCUGCUUUGCAUGGUGUUCAACCCACUGUUCAGCUCUUUAGGGCUCUUUACAUCCUGAAGGAGCAUCCCUUCGAGCAUGUUGGUGGCAUUGCUCAACUUGAAAGGGAUGUCAGCUGAUAAAGGCUGGUCCUUCCUCUGGUCCAUCACUAGAAGGGUCGCUAUUUCUUUGUGUUGUUUGAGCAGCUUUCGGGCUUCAGCAUGAUCUGGAGACCGCUCAAGAAAUCUUUGAAUUGGCCUCUAGCCUAACCAAGGAGCAGAAGGCACUUGAUGGUCUGUGCUGAGUGGAGGUUCCCUCUGUGCAGCAACUUCUAGUGGAGCAUAUGCCAGUGAAUGUCGGUUUGUGUCCGGCCAAACUUAAGGGUCGUUAUGUCAGGUUUGAAGAAGGCCGUCAAAAGAAAGAUGGCCAGAUAGAGUAGUAGGAUGGUCUUCUUACAAAGAGGAGCCACCUAGCUCCAAUCUCACACAAGGUUUAAGUUAAACUCAAAGUUCCUCAGGUUGAGCACCAACUUGAGGUAGAGAUUUUAUCUUCUCUCACUUAGACCAAUACUCAAAGGAUUGAGAUAUGUUCCAGAGUGGUCGGUCAAAGUCACUGACAAUGGGAUGAAGGAUGCCCAGACUGCUCAGGAGCUUGCUUAUGGGACCUUGCUCCUAAGUGACUAGGUUGACUUGUCCCAAUAUCCGACUAAGACCUGAUUUUACUCGGCCUUCAAAGCAGUCGUGAAGGUAAUCUGAUCUCUAAUAGUCAUGGAAUUUCGUGCUUAGCUCAUUCUAAUCUAGUUUUAUGUUGCUUGCAAAACUUCGGUCUAUGGGCAUUCGUGGCUGAGUACCAAAGGAUGCUUAGCCUAGAUGUUGAUCAACUGUAGCUGGCGAACACCGAGUUGCACAAGGAGAUAGUUGACUAGAAGAUUGUGGCACUUGAGGUCGAGCUCCAUGCUGCUGAGAGUUGGCUGCACAUGGCCGACCAAAGGGCUGCUGUAACUGAGUAGAGGGUUGUGGAGGCCGAAGGGGGAGCGUCGGGUUGGUAGAAGAAUACAAGGCCUCAGGAGGCUUAAAGGAAGAGUUGAACUCAUAUGCCAUGAACUCGUAGUAAACAAGGUUCAAGGACUGCAAAGAAUAGAGCGAGACUCUCUUUGCUGAGGCUGAUCUAAGCAGCCUUGACCCAUGCGCCGAAUGGGACGUAGAGGAUGACAUUGAGGUGCAUAGAUGCAGCGACAGUGAUGUAGAGGUGCCUUCUUUGGUUGAGUAGGAGGCUUUCUUUUUGUUGUUUCUUUUUGUACUUUUCUUCUUUCUUUUGUACUUCAGCAUAAUUGGCUUUUUAGCCAACCCUUUGUACUUAAACUCUUUUUUGGUAAUGAAAUGCUACUUUUCUUUUAGCACUCAAA